rnacentral:misc_RNA from 1 species
UUUCGCUGGCUUCCAGCUCCUCGGUUUUCCUCUUUCCUACUUCUGGAUUCUAUUCUCUUCUUUUUAUAUGUUUUUUAGAAAAAUAUGGGUUUUGCUUCAUUUGAGUUUUUGGCUGAUGAUCACGAUGAGCAUUAGUGACUUGUAAAAUGGGAUUUGGAAUUUUUGGUUGUGGGAUAUAGAAAUGGAGUUGUCAUAAUUUGGGGUUUUGGUUUUGUUAUUGUGUACA